CCAAAUUAGCCGACCCGAGAUUGAACCCAAGACGGUUCCCGCUCUCAUCUGCUUCAAGUUUCAACCAUCGCGGGUUUCUGCAAGUCUCGCCCAAAUCGAAAGUUGUUUCCUCGUUUGGAAGCUCGAAGAUCUCUGCGGAAAUGGCGGACGGAGCAAAAAGAUAUGAGUAUGAUUGAUUUCUCUUUAUUUUCCUGGAAUGUGUUCUGUUUGGCGGCCGAGAAUAUUUCGGUGGAGAAGGACAGAUAGAAAAUGGGGGCAACUUGUUUCUUUUUAUCCUAGGGCUCGGAAUUUUGUCGGCUUCCAAACAGAUGAUGAGAAAAGAAAAAGUGUUUGUUUAGAGUUUCCGAUGUAUGAAAUGCAGACUUUCAUGGAGAUUCAAGGUCGCAUGAUUGAUUAGUGGGAAACUGAAACAGGAAGAACGUGAGUACCGAUAGUCUUUCUUUUACAAGGACGUGGUUGUGUCUCAAAUGGCGGGCAUGUUUGUUUUAGAGCCCUGGUCAGUGCAGAUAUCGAAGGAAUACUUGGAGAAGCAGAUCGCGGAGGUGGAGAGCAACAUAUGGGAGCUCUUGCAGCAAAUGUUUUCCUUUUUCAUUAUGGUUACGAUAUUUUUAAUUUACCCUUGAGGGGUUACAGGGCAAAUCUUGUCAAUGAAUGUAGUUGAAGACUGGUGCUUGGUUUCAUUGGUGUUUUCCUUCAACUCACACAUACAUAACAUUACAAAUAGCAGGAGACGGAGAUGAUAUUUAUAUUAAUAAUAUAUUUACAAGUCGAGUCUAUUUUUGAACAAGCUAUAUAUAUAUAUAUAUAUAGAUACACACACAUAUGUGUGAUAAGCAAGUUAUAAAACUAAACAAUAAAAAUCUGAAUAUGGAAAUUAAAAAAAAAAAAAUUGGGCAUGGGUAGGGAUAUUUGGUAAGAGAUGGUACUCAUUCCGGCAAGGCCUUGGUAAUCUGUUCCUUCGUAAGUUCCUGAAAGGCCUUGUUAAACCGUUCCUUCAUAUGCUCCAGCAAGGCCUUCGUCAUCAGUUGUUUCAUUCGUUCCGCCUGCGAUUGAGAUUGCGCAACCAUAACGAUCGGAAUGCUUCUUCCG